AACGAAAUGGAAAUUUCCUGCAAGAAAAGCUUUCAUAUACAAGCAUUUCAAGACCAUUCUUUCGGUUAAAGAAGAACCAGAAACACAGCUAGAGAUUUUAACUAAGGUGGAUGUUCUUAUUGCCCAACUAGGGAAAAUUAAACACUUCCUAUUGGAGAGUCUAGAGGUCUUCAGGAUGUAAUAGAUAAGAGAGCAGAGUCUUCUUUACAAAAGCUUUUUUUUUUCUCUGCAGCGGACCAGAGUAAGGCGAUUAUUUCAGGUACUAAAGCCCAAAGAUUCUGGCUGGACACCUUAGAGAAAGAUUUUCUUUGUGAAUCUAAGAAAGAUCCUGUUGAACAUUUGAGGAAUAUCAGGAAGGCUGUGGAUUUUCUGUCCGACUCUUCAUCAG